rnacentral:rRNA from 1 species
UACGUAGGGUGCGAGCGUUGUCCGGAUUUAUUGGGCGUAAAGGGCUCGUAGGCGGCCUGUCGCGUCGGGAGUGAAAGCCCACUGCUUAACGGUGGGUCUGCUUCCGGUACGGGCGGGCUGGAGUAUGGCAGGGGAGACUGGAAUUCCUGGUGUAGCGGUGGAAUGCGCGGAUAUCAGGAGGAACACCGGUGGCGAAGGCGGGUCUCUGGGCCAUUACUGACGCUGAGGAGCGAAAGCGUGGGGAGCGAACAGG